rnacentral:rRNA from 1 species
UACGUAGGGGGCAAGCGUUGUCCGGAUUUACUGGGCGUAAAGAGCGUGUAGGCGGCCACGCAGGUCCGUUGUGAAAACUGGAGGCUCAACCUCCAGACGUCGACGGAAACCGUAUGGCUAGAGUCCGGAAGAGGAGAGUGGAAUUCCUGGUGUAGCGGUGAAAUGCGCAGAUAUCAGGAAGAACACCAAUGGCGAAGGCAGCUCUCUGGGCCAUAACUGACGCUGAGAAGCGAAAGCAUGGGGAGCGAACAGG